rnacentral:lncRNA from 1 species
UCGGCCUUCACUCACACUCCAGACCGGCCUCCCACCGCACAGCCACCGCAGCAUCUCCAUGGGGCCAGAGCGGGCCGGGCGGCGGCCCCGCUUUAUACCGGGGCAGCGCUGCGCCAACGCGGAAGGGCAGAGCGGGCGAGGGCGGAGCGGCGGCCGCUUCCCGGUCCGCCCCGUGCCACGCCUGGCCGCGGCCCUGAGGCGGAGCGGGGCGGGGAGGCGGUGCGGCCUGCUGCGGCCUAACGUGCGGCCCAACGUGCGGCCUAACGCACGGCUCGGCCCGCGGCCUCGCGUGGGGCCCGCUGCGGCCUGCUGCCCCCCCGGCCCCGGGCCCAGGCCCCGCCGCUUCCCGCGGCCCCUUCGGUUCCCUUUGGUCUCUUUCCAGCCCCCGCCGAGUGCCUCCUCGCAGAAUAACCCCGGUGGGUGUAGAGACAGGUCCUCUUCUGCAAACACCUGGCUUUUAUGCAAAUCGUGUUGCAAUAAAGGCAGAUGUGCCCCGACAAGUGCGUUCGUUAGGGAAAUUCGUUCAUCGGCUUCCUGCUCCGCUGCAGAGGCCGCCUUUACUCUCGAUUUUGUGAUCUGACACACUCUCGGCUGACUGGCACAGGGCUGUGCGUGGUGCAGGAGGCCCACCGAGCCCCGGAGCCAAGCCCUGAGUUAGCACACGUCGGCACACCCCGCAGCAACCGCGGCGGUGCGGCGGAGCAGCUGGUUCCUCAGAUGGCUUUCCAGCUCGUCCUUGGCUGCUGCUCUUCUGAGGUUAAAACCAUCAAAAGGAGUGAUUCAGAAGGACUGCAGCCCUGGCUCUUUUUCU